rnacentral:rRNA from 1 species
UACGAAGGGGGCUAGCGUUGUUCGGAAUUACUGGGCGUAAAGCGCGCGCAGGCGGUCCUUCAAGUCAGGGGUGAAAUCCUGGAGCUCAACUCCAGAACUGCCUUUGAUACUGGGAAGCUUGAGUCCGGGAGAGGUGAGUGGAACUGCGAGUGUAGAGGUGAAAUUCGUAGAUAUUCGCAAGAACACCAGUGGCGAAGGCGGCUCACUGGCCCGGUACUGACGCUGAGGUGCGAAAGCGUGGGGAGCAAACAGG